CACCGCGGCCGCCGGAAACCGGCCCUGGUCAGGCACGUUCCGACCGAACCAGAAUCCCUGGGCGAGAUCCCCCUCCCCUGCCCUGGCCGCGCCCCCACUGUCCGGACACCCUCCUGACCGGUGGCCGGAGCGCGAUGUGUGUCUGUCAGCAAACCGAGCCACUGCUCUGAAAGGAAAGCCUUCUGCAUGUGGUUGGGCAUAUUCCACUGCCUCUUCCAAAUAGGAUCUCUACAGCUCCAAGAUCCCAGGCAGAUUGAUGAUCCCUGGGGAACAGGAGCAGGUGUGCUGUGGACUAAGAGAGAUGCACCAAGGGGGCACAGGAUGAAUCCUGUUAGAGAGCUCCUGAAGCAGCUUCAAGGACAAGGACUGUCUCAGCUCCUGUCUUCCUGUGGCAGGUGUGAGCCCUGGAGCUCUCUGCUGCCUGCUCUGUUUGGGGGCCGGGAAGGCACUAGGAGACUCCUUCUGCCCUGGGAAUGGAAGGAAACAGACUAGGACUAUUUUCUCAAAGAAAAGCAAAGGGAGCAGGAUGACAUGGCACCGAAACCAUCUUUUCCUCUUGCCAUAAUGGGCUGCCCCCUCCCAGUUAAACAGAAGCAGUGGAUCCUCUGCCUUUAACACCUUCCACCACUUUUAGAUCCUUUCCAUUCACAAGCAUAAACAUUUAUCUCUCCCUCACACUAGAACUUGGGUGCCUGGCCCUAGCUAAUACAAAAGUUACUUUCAGACCCAAACAGGCCCAAUCCUCCUUGAACUGGGCUAGCAAGGAAUGUAGUGGUCUCAGCUAUGUGCAUCAUUCCAAUCUCUUUCCAACUGGGCAACUGCUAUAGAGAAGAGGGGAGGCAACAGUGGUGCAAGUCUUCACUUACUGCUUCUGGUUUGGAUCAAGGAUACCUAGAACUAACACAAGGCUAUUACAGUACAUCGGUUUCAAAUGUGUGCAUAUUCAUAAGUCUUCUGCCCACGUGUGACAGCUAACCUGAUGGAUGGAUGGGGCAAUGGCUUUUUUAUGCAUCUCCUUUACUAGGAGAGUCAGUUUGCUAAGCUUCAGUGUAACAAGCACUGAUGAGGAUUUUCGUUCACGCUAAACAGAGGCAAGUGGGAUUCCAGUGACACACAGCACAUACAAGGCAGAAGCCAAGGCCAGCCAUCACUGUAUCCAUUCAGACUGUGGGUCCAACUGUGACGUCUGGUGCCAACAUGAGCCCUAAAAUGCUAAACCAGGCACGUUUAAACAUAGGAGCCCAAGACUGAAGACUAAGCUGUUUGCCUCCUGCUUCUGUACCCAACACAAACAGAAAUGGAGGAAAGGUACAGACCCUUUGCUACAAACUACAUUAAUGGUUUGACUCACUACACAGGUAAGGGGGGGGGGGGAAGAUGAUCCAGUGCUACACCACAUGGUGAUAGACAGCUGACAAAUGCUUUGUAUGCGUAAGUAGUGUAUACCUGUUCAAUAAUCACAUGCACGGUCCUGUGAUCUCUGCAAUACUUUGCAUUGACUUGCCAAGUUGUACUUUUCAUAGAAGAAUAAAGAAGUUAAAGAUAAGUAGGAUCUAUGGCAGGGGUAGUCAAUAGGCAGCCUAUGGGCCAAAUCCGGACAGCCAGAUGCUUUUGAACUGACUGUGACAUCUUUUUAAUUUACUUAUUAUCAUUAUUGUUUUUGUAUUAUUUUCGCUGUAGUCUGGACCUUGAAAAUACCUUGACCAAGAAAUGUGGACCUUGACAAAAAAUAAUUGAUUACCCUGAUCUAUAGCAUCAAAAAGUGGUGUACGUGGUAGGUCCCUAGACUGCAUUGUCCAUGGUGAGGUCCAUCCUAUUGCACAACCAGAACCUAACAGUUUACAGAGCCUAUUCCUUCAGGAGAUUAAGGGCAGAACCCAAAGGAUUUACCCCCGAAUACAUCCCUUGCUGCAGAAAUGUGAUCCACUUAAAAAAAAACAAAAAAACAAUCUACCCUUUAUGGUGACAAAGAUAACCUUGAAAACAUGAGUGGUGUAACUACUGCAUCUUCAUCUGCCCGAGAUGGGAAAGAACCUGAAAGUGUCUCAGAUAUGAAUGGUCCACAGGCACCUAAACCAGGGCCCCAUGCUAAAAUUCCGAGACUGUUAAACUUAGCAUUCCCCCUUCACCACCACCUCUCCCCGCCCCGAAAGAGAGACAUGGAAUUAAGCAUUUUUGCCAUGAAAUAGUUAUCUGCUGCAGCCAGGUGCCUGACAUCUUGCUCUGCAGUUGUCCUUACUGGGGUUAAGUUCAUUGUACAUACUGCAUGCUCACAGCACUGUUCCAUGGAACCAAGUUGCAGAGGCUAGUGUACCAGAGCUGGAGUCCAGCUUGCAGCUAGGGAGCCAGAAGUAUAGGCUGGCCAGCUGGGCUGCCGGUAGAGCAGUGCAGCAGCCAAGGCUUGGGAAGCCAGAGAGAUGAACUUCUGAGGUCAGCUCCAUGUUCGCCUCCCACCCCUAUUCCCAGCCCCACGAGAGGGAAGCGGUUCUGAAUGGGACUGCCUGGGCAGUUGCAGAAGCGAAGGCCUAAGCUACCUGGAGAACACAGUGAAAAGCUCACCCUUGAAAAUAAUCAAUACUUUUACAUCACUGAGAAUUUUCACUGAUGAGCCACAGCUUGGGGGGGAGGGAGAAGAGGGGCAUGGUGGGAAUGGGACAGACAGGGGGACAUAGAGGGAAACGCAAAGGAUAAUUUGUGAUGGUACAAUGUAGUUCUUGCUGCCAUUUUCUACAUGGGUUCCAAUUAUAGAGUAAUUCUUGGUCUUCACUAAAAGAGGAAGACCUGUAGUUUUAGGUUUUAAUAAUGUCCAGAAGCAGGUGGUGUGAGGCCAAGAGCUGCUCUUCCCCACUACCCAACAAGAGCAGGUGGGGCAGAUCAGCUCCUUUGGAGGUUCAAGGGGAUUUAAACAACUCAGAGCCAGCCUGACACUUGAGUCCAUCCCAGAUUCUGCUGGAGGUUUGUACACGCUGUUUACAGAGUUUGAAGGAGUAAACAUUGACAGUAUUCUGUGAAGGAAACUGGAGCAUGCUAGCCACAAAGCUGGAUGCGUUGGGGAUCCUGUCGUGGCAUCAUGCACUCCCACAGGACCCAGCAUGCUUCUGGCAUGCCUCACUGAGUGUUAACGCAAUUUUAAGAUUUCCCAGUAAAGGGCAAGUCCUGGCUUUGGCUAGUUUCUUUAAGGAACUUUGUGGCCUCAAGGACAAGGCAGCUCUUAUUCUAAACAACAAACCCAACAAAUCCUCUCAAUCUAUUGUCUUCACACCUUUGGAAGCACAGCUCUUCCCCCAGAGAGGUGAAGGACCAAAAUGAGGUUGAUUUAGUUCAACAGCACAGCAGAGGUGACAAUGUAUACAUUGUGUGUUCAGGGCAAAACUGAAGUCAUGUGGGUAAAAAUAAUUUGGAGCAGUGGUCGCUCUAAUUUUUCCCACUCGUGUGGAAUGAAUUGUGUUGUGUGUACCAAUAUGGAGGUGAUGUGUGACAAAUCACCUCCAUAUUGGUGCACAUAAAAUUA